GGGCGAUUAGCUCAGUGGAAGAGCGCUACCUUGACACGGUAGAGGUCACUGGUUCGAUCCCAGUAUCGCCCACCA
rnacentral:tRNA from 3 species